GUGUAGUUAUAUGUUAGCGUGGUUCUGAUGGCAUCUGAAUGUUUCAGGUACCCUGUGUAGUCAUCUGUUAGCGUGUCUCUGAUGGCGUCUGAAUGUUUCAGGUACCCUGUGUAGUUAUAUGUUAGCGUGUCUCUGAUGGCAUCUGAAUGUUUCAGGUACCCUGUGUAGUUAUAUGUUAGCGUGUCUCUGAUGGCAUCUGAAUGUUUCAGGUACCCUGUGUAGUUAUAUGUUAGCGUGUCUCUGAUAGCAUCUGAAUGUUUCAGGUACCCUGUGUAGUCAUCUGUUAGCGUGUCUCUGAUGGCAUCUGAAUGUUUCAGGUACCCUGUGUAGUCAUCUGUUAGCGUGUCUCUGAUGACGUCUGUUACCCUGUGCUAGCCUCUGUUAGUGUGUCUCUGAUGACGUCUGUUACCCUGUGCUAGCCUCUGUUAGCGCGUCUCUGAUGGCAUCUGAAUGUUUCAGGUACCCUGUGUAGUCAUCUGUUAGCGUGUCUCUGAUGGCAUCUGAAUGUUUCAGGUACCCUGUGUAGUCAUCUGUUAGCGUGUCUCUGAUGACGUCUGUUACCCUGUGCUAGCCUCUGUUAGUGUGUCUCUGAUGACGUCUGUUACCCUGUGCUAGCCUCUGUUAGCGCGUCUCUGAUGGCAUCUGAAUGUUUCAGGUAACCUGUGUAGUCAUCUGUUAGCGUGUCUCUGAUGGCAUCUGUGUAAACUGAAAUAUUUGUACAACUUUGCUUUCAACGUUCUAAUAACUCUUUCACAAAUGGCAGCCUUUCUAAUCGUGUAGGUGCUGUAAUGAUUAAU